rnacentral:piRNA from 1 species
UUCUGAAUUCAGUCCGUGCAGAGUUGUGCUU